UCAACAUCUUGAUUUUUAAAAAAUUUAAUAUAUAUUAGAGAUACUUUCCUAUCAUGUAGUCACUUCCUCUGCAUCUGCAUAGUAUCCUGUAUUAUGCGUAUACAGUAAUGUAUUUAAUUAUUACUGAUGGACAUGUAGAUUUUUCCAAUUUGUUGCUGUUAUAAAACAAUGAAUACCUUUUACCUCGUUGCACUCUGAGACCAAGAUGGGUCACCAGAAGCUGUACUGGAGCCACCCGCGAAAAUUCGGCCAGGGUUCUCGCUCUUGUCGCGUCUGUUCAAACCGGCACGGUCUGAUCCGGAAAUAUGGCCUCAAUAUGUGCCGCCAGUGUUUAUGUCAGUAUGCGAAGGAUAUUGGUUUCAUUAAGUUGGACUAA